ACAUGACAUUUUGGUGUUUGCUUGUUUAAUGUAUGUACAGUUAGGGUUACCAUAGAGAUGAGACUUAAAUCAGACUGUGGAAGUGUCAUCUGUUAUCCUACCAUAGUGCUAUGAUUGGUUAGAAGUCACACACUAAUGAUUAUUAUUAUUAUUAUUAAGACUAGAAGAAAUGUACAUAAUGUACCUGAAAUGCAAUUUCCCCAAACAUAUCAAAAGACUUUAUGACACAGAUUGAGUAGUUGGAAGGUUGGAGGGUAGAUGUGAAUCAUUCUUGAAGGUAGUAGAUAUCAUGAUUAAAUAAACAUCGUGAGGCAGUGAAGGUUCCUCGUGACGUCAAGUGAUCCUAGAAGAAGGAACCAUGUCUCCUUCCUGCUCUAACAAUGGAAGACAGAACUGAUGAGGAAGCACUGAGGAGAGCCUUCAGGUGGGAGAGGGUCUUCAUGGACCUUCACUGACGACUACCUAUGAAAGAUGGUCUGCAAUGACUGUCUGAUUAGUGAUGUUGUGGUAAAGUGGUCCUGGAUCAGUCCAUGACUCCACCUUCUUUAGGUCCUCUGGCAUCUGCCUGUCACAAAACCCACAACCUACAACAAAGCCCACGAGAGAACAAGACCUUCGUCCUCCUGAAGGAACGUUCUGGUGUCUGCAGCACCUGAGAGUCAGCGCAGACAGGACAUGUGACAUUAUUGUUGCUAUCCUCCACAUUAUGGCCUGAAUAAGGAAGGGGAGGGGCUUCCAGAGUGCCAACACACUGACUGGGACAUUACGUCAUGUUUCCAGAUGAUGACAGUGG
rnacentral:lncRNA from 1 species